rnacentral:lncRNA from 1 species
UCUGAGUUCUGGUUAUCAUAAAAUAUUUCUUGAAGUAGAAUUUGAAGUAGGUUGAAAUGAAUUUGGUUGUGUUCACUUUGUCCCAACCCAAUGAUAAGAAUUUCUAAUCAUCUGUCUCUUAGUCUCUCAUAGAGUCAAAAACUGUUAGAACUAGAAGAUGCUAGAAAUCCUACGAUUCCAGCUAUGGGUGGUCACAUUUAAGACUGUCUCAAGGUUUGAAAAAUUGUUCCGGAGGCCCUGGGUAAAGACAGCAAGAAAACCACAGCAGCUAAAUCGCCUCGCUCCCAAGCCAAGUGUUUACCUCCCCAGCAAAACAAAGCCACUGAAAGAGAAUCACCAGAACAAAAGCAGGGACUUGGAAAGUAACUUUGAGAGAUAUUGGAGGGAAUUGUAAAGAACCCGUCCCUUCUAAUCCCAGGGCUGCUGAAACCACAGAAAAGCUGGUGGAAAUUAACCGUUUGUGUCACAGGCGACACACCAUAUGCUGCCUGCCUUCCCUGGAGAAAGAACAACCAGAAAUAGCUUCCCACUCCCCGGCGAGCUGCUGAGCUCAGCCUGCACUCACUUGUGCUCUCAAAUGAAAUGCAAUUCACCCAGCCAGGCCCCAGCAUGCUUAACCUUUGGACCACGAAUGCCAACGUUCCUCUGGAGAAAGAGUCAGUUGUGCUCCUCUUGGUGACAAUGAUGUAACCACUGGAGGGGGAAAAAAAAAAAAAGGCUUAUAGCCACUCUGAUUUUGCAAUGGCUCCAACAAAAGGCUUAAAGGAUUUCAGAUGCAUUUGGAAAUUAAACUCUGCUGGCCCUCCUGAGCCAGCAUCUCUUCUAAAUACCAGAGGGACUCACAAUGACAAAACCCAGACCUAAUUGCUGAUGCAGGCUUGAUGGUAUUUGGGUUGUCUAGUCAUGACAAGGCAUAAACAAAUCCCUUUGCCACUGUUCGCAUGUGAGAAAAUGGCAUCUCAUCUGGCUACUUUCUACCCAGAUCCAUUGGCAGGUUGUCCCGAUGCCCCCCUCCCCCCAGUUCCCAAGUGAACCUUUGGGAAACUGACCUUGAACACAGAACACGGAAUUUUUUUUUUUAAUUUUUUUUCAACGUUUUUUAUUUAUUUUUGGGACAGAGAGAAGCAGAGCAUGAAUGGGGGAGGGGCAGAGAGAGAGAGGGAGACACAGAAUCGGAAACAGGCUCCAGGCUCCGAGCCAUCAGCCCAGAGCCUGACGCGGGGCUCGAACUCACGGACCGCGAGAUCGUGACCUGGCUGAAGUCGGACGCUUAACCGACUGCGCCACCCAGGCGCCCCGAACACGGAAUUUUUUAAAGAGAUAAAUGC